UAGGAACAUUAUUGGAUGUGAUAGUUCAUCUUUCCCCCCCUUUUUAAUUUAGAAUUUUUUCGUGAUAGUUCAUCUUGUAACAUGCUUCAUAAUAAUUUUCAUUUUCCUCAUGUGUAAUUACAUAAGCCAAUUGAGACACUGCCUUGGGGGUAGGGUGGGGGAAUUUUUUUUUCAGUUCAUUAUGCUUUUUGUUAGAUAUUUCAAGAGCUUCAUUUUUAUGUUCACUAGGUUUAGAUUACAAUUGACUGUGACAUUUUGCCAGAAUCAGGAUACUAUUGGGAAAAAUUUGGUAACAUAACCCAAAUUGUCUCAUCUGAAGCUCUACUCCAUUGCUUCAUCAUGGUAUAGAAAUGACUUGGGCUCUCAAGGGUAUGUAGUGGAUGCCAUGUUGUAGCAGAUCCCACCAGGCUGGAAGGUAUCAAAACAUGGGCUUGGAGAUAAAAUAUUGUCCAGGUACUCACCUAUCCAAAUUCACAAUGGUUCACCAUCAGCUGCUCAGCCAGCAGGUGAUAACUGGUUUUGAGGGUACUCUUCAUAAAACUGUCUGCUACAGGAUGUUGCUGUUCCAAACAUUCGGUGAUCCAUUUCCUUCUAAUUGUUUGUGUCAUAUUCACCCUUAAACCUCUUGACAUGGCUUAUUAAGCUCCUCUGUCUCUUCAGAUUUUAUUCCAAUCAUUUUCUCCUUUCUCAUUUCUUCCAUUCUUUCAAGGAACAAUUCAUUCUAUAGCUGUUGCUUAGCACCGGAAAACACACAAACAUAGUCUUCUCUCUUCAUAUCACUACAAAACUUCCCAUGUACUCUCUCCUUGUUAGAAAUUAUAGCCUUAGUUUUCUGUCAUUAUUGGUAUCUCUUGUGACUAACCUUUAAGAUGAACUAGUAGGGAAAACUGCCUGUUUACUACAUCUGUUCACUGCUCUGGUGACUCUGAAGCAAAGCUUUAUUAACAGCAAAUUUCCCAUCUUUUCUCGUGAGAUGAUGCUUAGCUACUCUACUGCCUUGAUUGGGAAAUAGCAACUUCCUGCCUAAAUAUGAUCUUUCCACUAUGAAUAGUUGGCACCCAUUAAGAUAAGCUUUCAUACCUGAGUAGUAUCUGAGGAUCAAGAUCGGCAGGGAAUUGUUUGGGAGUGAUCCUUUUUGUCCCCAAGAUAAAAACUACUUUUCAUUACCAACCUUAUCAUUUAUGUUUGUUGUUGUUUAGUUGUUUCAGUCAUGUUCGAUUCUUUAUGAUUCAUUUAAAGGUUUUCCUGGUAUACUGGAGUGGUUGGACAUUUAUUUCCUUCUUCAGCUCAUUCUACAGAUGAGGAAACUGAGGCAAACAUGGCUCAGAGAAUUGCCAUAACUCACAUAGCUAGUAAGUAUCUAAGACCAGAUUUUUUAAAGUUUAUUUAAUGAAUUAAUUAAUUUGGAAUAUUUUCCAUGUUUACAUGAAUCAUGUUAUUUCCCUCCCCUCUUUCUAUCCCCUCCCAUAGCCAAAUGAGCAAUUCCACCAGCUUUUACAUGUGUCAUUGAUCAAGACCUAUUUUCAUAUUAUUAGUAUUUGUGCUGGGGUGAUCAAUUAGAAUCUACAUCCCCAAUCAUAUCCCCAUAGAACCAUGUGAUCAAGCAGUCGUUUUUCUUCUGUGUUUCUGCUCCCACAGUUCUUUUUCUGUAUGUGGAUAGUGUUCUUUCUCAUAAGUCCUUCAGAAUUGUCCUGGAUCAUUGCAUUGCUGCUAGUAGAGAAGUCGAUGUGUAUAAUGGGACAGUGUAUCCAUCUCUGGGUAUAAUGUUCUCCUGGUUCUGCUCCUUUUACUCUGCAUCAAUUCUUGGAGGUCAUUCCAGUCCCCAUGGAAUUCCUCCAGUUCAUUAGUCCUUUGGGCACAAUAGUAUUCCAUCACCAACAAAUACCACAAUUUUUUUAGCCAUUCCCCAAUUGAAGAGUAUCCUGUCAUUUUCCAAUUUUUUGCUACCACAAAGAGCACGGCUAUAAAUAUUUUUGUAUAAAUCUUUUUUCCAAAGGCCAGAUUUGAACCCAGGGAGAUGAAUAUUCCUGCCUCUAGGUCUGGCACACUACCCACUGUACCACCUGGCUGCCCUGUCAUUUAGGUACCAUACAUACAUACGCAAAGAGACAAGAUCUCUUUCUACCCAAGUGAAAAAGGAGAAACAGAACAUAAAGGAAAAUUGAAGCUGAGGAAGCUGACACCAAUACUCCUGAGACUAUAUUAGACAGGAAAGAAGAAAAACCUCUGGAGAAAACUGUGAGAUAAAAGAUAGGUCAGAAAGGUGGCCCAAGUUACUGGAAGAAUACUUCUUCACUGGGGAGACAUGAAGAUGAAAAACUUGAAAGCGAGAACAAGAGGCAGAAAAGAGAGCCUUAACUGGAAAAAAAAAAAACAAGUUAGAAAGCUUUGACCCAAAGAGGUCAAAAAACUAAGAAGAGAAAAGGGAGCAUGAUUCCUAAGGCAAAAGAGAAGCAACUUAGAGUUAAUAUUUUCCUGAGGGGCCAUAAAUCUUUGAAAAGAUGUAGUUAAAACUAAAUAAACUUAGCCUCUUAGAUUUCA
ensembl:lncRNA